rnacentral:rRNA from 1 species
UACGAAGGGGGCUAGCGUUGCUCGGAAUCACUGGGCGUAAAGCGCACGUAGGCGGCUUUCUAAGUCAGGGGUGAAAUCCUGGAGCUCAACUCCAGGACUGCCUUUGAUACUGGAGAGCUAGAGUCCGGAAGAGGUGAGUGGAACUGCGAGUGUAGAGGUGAAAUUCGUAGAUAUUCGCAAGAACACCAGUGGCGAAGGCGGCUCACUGGUCCGGUACUGACGCUGAGGUGCGAAAGCGUGGGGAGCGAACAGG